AUGCCCACUCAUCAAUUAUCUGUAUUUCCUCUUUUUUUCAUUUCAUAUUCUGCCAUGAAUAAAGCAUCAUCGGGUGAAAACACUCCAAUUGCAGAUGAGUAUGAAACCAUACCUGACCAGACAAAGCUGGACCCAGCAGAAGAUGCAAGUCUUGCCUCCGAGGACUCAAAACCAGGAGAGCAUCUCCCAGAAGAGGAGGCCAUUCUCAUUCCAGCACUGGAAGAAAAGAUUGAUUCAGUUAGCAAAAGGGAGGAGCCGGAGGGCACUGAGCCCCUGCCUUUGGGAUCGGAGGAGAGCACGGGGCUGCCGCCUGCAUGGCGAGAGGAGAGCACCGGGCUUUCGCUGCCAGCGCCAGGGGAAGACACUGCAUCACCGCUGCCAGGACCAGCAGAAGACAGUGGGCUGGUGGAGGGCAGUGACAGCGCUGUAGUGGAAAUUGUCAAGAAAGAACAUAUUACUGAAGAUGACCAACUCAUUGAGGGUGAGACGGGAGAACAGGUGGAAACUGAGCUGCUCAGUGAGAUAGUAAGUGAAGGGUCUGAAACAAAAGAAGAAGAAACAGGAGAAGCAGUGGAUGGUGCAGCAGCAACAGAGAUAGGGACAGCUGAUAACGAGGAAUAG
ensembl:lncRNA